AAAGGAAUAGACGGGGACCCGCACAAGCGGUGGAACAUGUGGUUUAAUUCGACAGUAAGCGAAGAACCUCACCAGGACUUGACAUCUAGAGAAUCUCCAUGAAAGUGGGGAGUGCCGCAAGGAGCUCUAAGACAGGUGUUGCACGGUCGUCGUCAGCUCGUGCUGUGAAGUGUCCCGUUAAGUCGGUUAACGAGCGCAACCCCUAUUGCAUGUUAAAUUUCUCAUGCGAGACUGCCGGUGUUAAAUCGGAGGAAGGCGGGGAUGACGUCAGAUCAGCGUGGCUCUUACGUUCUGGGCUACACACGUGUUACAAUGGGUAGGUACAAAGGGUUGCUAAACUGUAAAGUGGAGCUAAUCCCAUCAAAACUACCCUCAGUUCGGAUUGAGGGCUGCAACUCGCCCUCAUGAAGUCGGAAUCGCUAGUAACCGUAGGUCAGCUAUACUACGGUGAAUACGUUCUCGGGUCUUGUACACACCGCCCGU
rnacentral:rRNA from 1 species